rnacentral:misc_RNA from 1 species
CUGCGAGUUCGCGGGAGAGUAGGUUAUUGCCAGGGUUUUUAUUUUUAUACUUUAAACUUUGAUUUUAUUUUUAUGUUUUUUAAAUAUUGGUGUUUUUGAAUGUGUUGUUUAAAUAACAUAAAAAAUAAAAUAUAUAUUGACAUGUAUUAAACAAAGAUAUAUAUUAUUUUAUGUUGUAUAAAUAAAUUGGCAAAAUAGAGAUGGAAGAUAAAAAUAUGGUCAAAGUAAUAAGAGUCUAUGGUGAAUGCCUAG